AUUUCUAAUACUAAACUUUAAAACUAAUAGCACAAUAAGUACUGUCUCUGUUUAACGCAAAUUUGCUAUGUCGUAUAUUUGUAAGAUGGAGACAAUACAUAGUAUGGAUCGUGAAUACGCCCUUUUAAGAAAAUGCAAAAAAUACGGAAAUCGUACCUAGUCAAUUAUAUUAAUAACUGCGGUUAACAAAUAACUAUAAACCACUGUCGUAGUUCGUGACAUCAGUAAUCAAUCGUAUUUCACAUCGUGAUUAUUUUUAUGAUACAAAGU